rnacentral:tRNA from 1 species
GGGCCUGUAGCUCAGGUGGUUAGAGCGCAUCUCUGAUAAGGAUGAGGUCCCUGGUUCGAGUCCAGGCAGGCCCACCA